CUGGAUGCUGCAGGAUAAAUGGCUGCCCACUGCUCCGGAGAGAGGAAACAUACAGGAGAACAAUCUGGGAGCAGAAUGUUUUGGAAGUGAUGAAGCACAAUGAAGAAGCUGCAGCAGGACAACAUACCUUUACCACUGGGAUCAAUCACCUUUCAGACAUGGGUGACUGCAAUGCCUGCUGGGCGUUCAGUGCAGUUGGAGCUUUAGAAGCUCAAAUGAAGAUGAAGAAGGGUCGUCUUGUUCCUCUGAGUGUUCAGAACCUGGUGGACUGCAGUUCUGAGGAGGGAAACUGUGGCUGCUCUGGAGGCCUCCUGACUAAUGCCUUUAAUUACAUAAUAAACCACAGGGGCAUCAGCAAGGACGCUGACUACCCUUAUGAACAAAAGGUAUUUUUUAUACAUUCCUACACAUAUUUAAUCAUUUACGUUCAUCCUAAGUUACUUCUAUGCAAUGUAAAAAUGCAAUAUUCAGUAAUAUAUAGAAGUGCAGCACAUACAUGAAACAAUUUGUUUGGUCCAGCACAACCUCGUGUUGACCAAGGUAAGAGGUCUCCAUCGUAGAUACAAAGACCCACUUUCCCACUUCCAAAACUGGCUUAGAAUUCUCCAUCUCCACUUUGUCUGGAAAGUCAUUUCAUCUGGACUGAAGCAUCCUCAGUAAAUACACAAGAGAUGGAGAUUCCUGUAUCUGUAAUAAUCAUUAAUGGAUGACAAAAGAACCCAUAUUGAAGGCACUGUAGAUGUGUGAAGGAUUUCAUUCAAAGUCAAACUUUAUUUCUCUGUGUGUAAACAGUCCUUUACAAAUGUUAUAGAGGAUGAGAACAUCAGUCAUGGAGACUUAAUUUUUGAUUAUUAUUAUUAUUCAUGAAUAUUUAGUUAAUAAUUGUAUUUUAUUUAUUUCCUAUUACAGUUUUAAUUUUUAUAUGUAGCCCAGGCUGUGUAUCAGUUAUGUCACAGGACUCAAUAAACAGGAGAUCUUUUAUUCCAGAUUACAUGUUAAACAGUGCAGAGUUAAUUAUGAAGAUUUGGGGAAAUUAAAGUAUGAAGUGUAAAACUAAUCUGAAGUUACUGAAAAUCAAUAAAGUCUGUCUUAUAUCAGAA